rnacentral:rRNA from 1 species
UAGGGAAUCUUCGGCAAUGGACGAAAGUCUGACCGAGCAACGCCGCGUGAGUGAAGAAGGUUUUCGGAUCGUAAAACUCUGUUGUUAGAGAAGAACAAGGACGUUAGUAACUGAACGUCCCCUGACGGUAUCUAACCAGAAAGCCACGGCUAACUACGUGCCAGCAGCCGCGGUAAUUCGUAGGUGGCAAGCGUUGUCCGGACUUAUUGGGCGUAAAGCGAGCGAAGGCGGUUUCUUAAGUCUGAUGUGAAAGCCCCCGGCUCAACCGGGGAGGGUCAUUGGAAACUGGGAGACUUGAGUGCAGAAGAGGAGAGUGGAAUUCCAUGUGUAGCGGUGAAAUGCGUAGAUAUAUGGAGGAACACCAGUGGCGAAGGCGGCUCUCUGGUCUGUAACUGACGCUGAGGCUCGAAAGCGUGGGGAGCAAACAGG